UCUCCCAAGGAUGGUAGGAAUCUCGACAGGGUAAGACAUUUGUUCGUAUUCCUGGCGUGUUUGUAUCCUCUUCCUCUGGAGCCUUUUUUUGGUUUACUCUCCCGAGCAGAGUGUGUGGUAAAGGUAUUCAGCCUCCUUCCUCCUCAGCAGGUGUGAGCUCUUGGUUUGAUUGACUUUUGGAAGCUUCUGAUUGAUGGUUAUAUCCCCACGAAGAUCCAUCCUCCUCUUUGAUAACUUCCCUGGUGGAGUGGCUUCCCCAGC
rnacentral:lncRNA from 1 species